rnacentral:ncRNA from 1 species
UUUGGGGUGACCCAUGCACUGAAGUAAGCCAAACGGCAAACGUCUGAACUGACGAACAGGAACGGGAUAUGAGGCACAGCUGCUCGGGUGAGCAAGCACACCAUUGCAAAGCCCAACGAAUACAAACAGGGUAGCUAUGUAGAUCCCGCAGGGUUA